rnacentral:lncRNA from 1 species
GGUGUUUUGGUCUUUUUAUUGUUGUUGUUUAUUUUGUUCUUGUUUGUUUGCUUUUUAUGAGAUCCUGGGGACAGCGUGACUAAGUGACUUUUUCUUGCAUAUGCAGCAAGACACAGGAAGACCCUGCUCUAAACUUGGUCACCUGAAUAACUUCUCUCCUGUACAGUAUUGGACAUCUCUGCCUCUUCAUUCCUGUGAAACUCUUACUGUGCACAUCUCCUGGGCGACCUUGAUUUUGCAACUCUUCAUCUGACUUCACACCAUUCAUGUUCAAGACACAAGAUCAGGUAAGAUUCUGGUAAGUAGAAGUUACCUGGUGAUAGCUUUUA